rnacentral:misc_RNA from 1 species
UCCGGCUUGACGCCGGCGGUCUCGCCAGAGUCCCCAACUUAAUGAUGGUAACUGGCAACGAGGGUUGCGCUCGUUGCGGAACUUAAUCCAACACCUCACGGCACGAGCUGACGACAACCAUGCACCACCUGUCACCGGUGCCCCGAAGGGGGGCCAAUGUUUCCAAAGGCUUUCACCGGGAAGUCAAACCCUGGUAAGGUUUUUCGCGUAGCAUCGAAUUAAACCACAUGCUCCACUGCUUGUGCGGGCCCCCGUCAAUUCCUUUGAGUUUUAACCUUGCGGCCGUAGUCCCCAGGCGGGGCACUUAAUGUGUUAACUGCGGCGCCGAGGGGGUCGAAGCCCCCGACACCUAGUGCCCAUCGUUUACAGCCAGGACUAC